rnacentral:lncRNA from 1 species
UUGGCCAAGUCGGGUUGCCAAAAUUCACGUUCGGUAAACGGAAAGGGGGAGCUACUCCCAUCCCAUGUCAUUCAUAAGCGUAGGUAGGUGGCCCGACCGACCAAGGGACCAGGAUCCAUGCAUGCACCGGUGCGAGUGAGAUCGAAUCAACCACACCACGGUGCACGGUCCCGGCACCACGCUCGCCAUACCACCUAUUUAUAUCCACGUUCCUCUCGCCCCUCUUCUAUGUGGCGGCAGCUCGCGCAUCACAUCGCAUCACAUUCUGAUUUCUGAAUCUCCGGCAGCAGCUUCGCCUUGCUGAUCCGGUGGUCAGAUGGAGGAGGAGGAAGCUUCGGCGGAGCUGAUCAGCCCCAGGAUCUCCUUCUCGCACGACCUCGCCGCCUUCGCGGCCACCGCN